AUUGAACGCUGGCGGUAUGCUUUACACAUGCAAGUCGAACGGCAGCGCGGGCUUCGGCCUGGCGGCGAGUGGCGAACGGGUGAGUAAUACAUCGGAACGUGCCCAGUAGUGGGGGAUAGCUCGGCGAAAGCCGGAUUAAUACCGCAUACGACCUGAGGGUGAAAGCGGGGGAUCUUCGGACCUCGCGCUAUUGGAGCGGCCGAUGGUAGAUUAGCUAGUUGGUGGGGUAAAGGCCUACCAAGGCGACGAUCUGUAGCUGGUCUGAGAGGACGACCAGCCACACUGGGACUGAGACACGGCCCAGACUCCUACGGGAGGCAGCAGUGGGGAAUUUUGGACAAUGGGCGAAAGCCUGAUCCAGCAAUGCCGCGUGUGUGAUGAAGGCCUUCGGGUUGUAAAGCACUUUUGGCGGGAACGAAAAGGACUGUGCCAAUACCACGGUUCGAUGACGGUACCCGCAGAAUAAGCACCGGCUAACUACGUG
rnacentral:rRNA from 1 species